GUGACGUUUUCCUGAAGAAAUGGGAGCCUUCCAUGCAUCUGCUGCAUCUCCGUGAAGAAGCACUGCUGUGCAGUGGACUCGAGGAAACACAGACCGUCGCUGACGCGCUGAGAGCUGGGCUUGAACAAGGGCAGUGACGGCAGCGGUCUGCCUCUUCUCUGAGCUCCGGAGACGCGCGUGCACUAAUAAACUUCAGGUCUGGGCACCGCAUCUGAGGCCGAUGGCUCCCGGAGGUCAGGCAUCUGACAGCCACACCAGAUAGAGUGGAAGGAGCGAGUAGGAGUGUUUCAGCGGGAGGAGCAGAGCAGGAUGCAAGAAAAGUGAGGAAACUUGGCUAAUAACCUGCUUGGAUUUAUUGGCUUUCUGUUAAUGGAACUUCUAUACACAAGACAAACUCCGGAAGAUAGUGGAAGACAAGGAGCGUGGCUUGCUACAGUCCAUGAGGUUGCAAAGAGUCGGACGUGACUUAGCGACUGAAAAGCAACAAUAGCAACAAAUACGCAAGCCCGUUAGUCUUGUAUUUUCAAAGCCGGAGGUAGAUGUCAAGACCUGUGUGCAUCGAAGUAGCCAGAUGGACAAUGACGACCACUGCUGGUGACAUGUUCAUACAAACUGCCAGUAACUGGGUAAUAUGGGCUACUGUCUGACUGGAAUCAACCACAACACUGGUCUGCCACCUUUUCUGGCUUCUCUUUGAUCUUUCCUCCUGCAGUGAUGACCUUCUGCGCCGUGCCCUUCCAUUCCGGAAAAGGCCAGUCACUGCCACCCAACAAUUUAAUUAAAGGCCACAUUACAAGCAUCACUUGGAAUCUGUGGGGGAUUGUUCUGGAGCCUCAAGAACAUGAAAAUCAAUAGAUGCUCCAUGGCCCUCUGAAUCCACGGUUCUGCAGCCUCAGACUCAACCAACUGCAGAUGGUGUCGUCUUGUAUGUACUUUCUGGAAACAUCUGAGUAUAAGGUGACCUGUGCAGCUCAGACCUGUAUUGCUCAAGACGUAACUGUACUUGUUCAAGGAUACAGCUGGCUGGGUUCCACAUGGCAACAUGGCUCCAGUGCUCUGUGGACCCAUACUCACCAGGACAGAAGAAAACGGGAGGGGAUGUUCACGGGCUUUCACGUCCCCAUCCAGAAAUUCACACGGAUCCUUCUGCCCGUUUCCAUGACCAGAGCAACUCAGCCCUGUGCGGGAAUCAGGGAACGUGGCCACUUGCCUCCCAGUUCACCGCUCUGCAGCCAGUACCCGUCACUGCGCUCGGUACAGAUGAGGUACUCAGUUCAAAGACACUAAUGAUGGACAAGGUCUCUCCUUCCAGAAGCCUGUGGUCCACCAAGAGACCUGUGAGGUGCGUGGGUGGGUGGAAGAGGUUGCCUAACAAAGGCAAACUGAUGUGCGGUGUGGAGGUCCACCUCGGGUGUCCCAGGGAGCAAGACGGAGUGCUACUCACUGAGCUGAGUAUAAGAAGAGCAGAGAUGCUCCACAGGGGAUCCGAGGUAAAGCAGGGCCUUCAGUUGAUCAGUCACUAAGUCCGACUCUUCGUGAUCCACUGGACUGCAGCUCACCAGGCUACUUUGUCCCCCACUAUCUCCCCAGAUUCGCUCAGAUUUCUGUCCAUUGAGUCAGUGAUGCUAUCUAACUGUCUUCUGUCAUCCCCUUCUCCUCCUGCCCCCAAUCCCUCCCAGCAUCAGGGUCUUUUCCAAUGAGCCGGUUCUUCGCAUCAGGUGGCCAAAGUACUGGAGUUUCAGCUUCAACAUCAGUCCCUCCAAUGAACACCCAGGACUGAUCUCCUUUAGGAUGGACUGGUUGGAUCUCCUUGCAGUCCAAGGAACUCUCAAGAGUCUUUUCCAACACCACAGUUCAAAAGCACCAAUUCUUCGGCGCUCAGCCUUCUUCCUGGUCCACCUCCUGCAUCCACACGUGACACCUGGAGUACAGGACCACUUGAGAAAGCAGGUCCUAGAAGAGGGUGGGCUGUGUGCAGACAGGAGAGGGCUUGGGGCCCUAGCCCCCGAAGUCCAGAGCUGGCGUUACCCUCGAAACUCCUCGAAGGAAGUGAGUGGCAUUCUCCAGUUUCCGGGGGAAGGUCCCGCCAGCAGCUGUCUGGUGGGUAGGGGAGCUGGUGGAAGGGCAGAGGGGUGUGAAUCAGCUGGAGCAACACUCCAAGCACAGCGGGUGAGGGAAGGAUUUAGGAAGGAGGAAGCACAGGCCUUAGCCACUGCAGUUCUGGCCGGCGGCGUGAUGGGGCCAUCUCCCGAGGCAGAGACCCUGAGCCUGGAGAGGGCCCCCCACCACCGAUCAUGACGCCGUUGCCUCUUAUCCUCAGAUGAUGCCCUGAACCCACAGCCACCCUGACUUCCAGUGACUGUCCACACUGGUGUCAGGAGCUGGUCAUCUGGCUUCUAAACUUACAGCACAAACAUUUCUAUUCAGUGGGCUCAGCAUUUUCUAACAGUGGAUAAAGAAACUCUCCAUCCACUGUAGAAAGCAGCCGGAACAGAGAGCUCACCCCCAGACGUCCAUCUCCCUGAGUUUUCAUCAUUAUCGGUUCUGGUUUAUUUGUCUAAAAUAAGACAUGGCUGUUCUUUAGCUGGAAGUCCUAGCUCAGCAUCUGAAAUUAAAAUUCUCUAAAUUCUCCAAAAUGCAUUUGGCAGAAGGGGUGCCAGCUCUGGACACCUCAUUUCUUGGUUGCUGAAUAACCAAAAAUGCGAUCCAAGGUGGCCUGAGCCGUGGCCAGCCAUGGCCUGGGCUGACUCAUCUCGUCCUGUGACAAGUGCUGAGGCCGCUGGAGCCCAUCCUUAGGUGCAUGUGAAAGUGUGGGGGGCUUGGAAGAGGGGAGGGGCCAGUGGUGCACCAACCAACCUACUAAGUCUUCAAAUUUGGGUCAAGGGUGCAGCGGAGGCCUUGGGGAGACCCGAGUUCUUUAAGCCAGAGGGAUAAGAAGAGCUGGGGGAGUGGUAUGCCUGCUGGGAUGAUGCAGGUCAGUGUCUCCUUCUGUUUGGAAUUCUGUGCGGAAUUCGAGGACUCGGGCCAGUUCCACGAUGCCUUUGGGAAAGGCCCACCUCACGGGCAACCCUCCUGGAUGAGGGCAGGGAACACAGCCAAGGCAGCUGCAUGUGGUCUCAGCUGGAGCUGGCACCAGAGGUUCUCAUCAGUUAGCCAAGGCCGCUGCUUGCUACAUCCGAAGCAGGUCAAGUUCAUCGCAGAAGAAGUGGUACCCUGACAAGGAAGCCCCACUCCAUCUUCCAGCUCAUAGGUGAUGGGGGCUAAGGGUGGCAGCCCCAAAGGAAGGACAGGGUUGUGAGCACCCGAGUCCAGCAUCCAUUCUCAGAGGCAGGCCAGGAGGCAGGACACCUCAGUCAGAAUCCUCCGCGUCCCCAGGGAACACUCCCCAGCAUCACCGUUUACCAGCUAGCAUGUAGGUUCUGUUCAGUCGCUCAGUCAUAUCCAACUCUUUGCAACCCCACGGACCUCAGCAUGCCAGGCCUCCCUGUCCAUCACCAACUCCUGGAGUUCACUCAAACUCAUGUCCAUCAAGUCGGUGAUGCCAUCCAGCCAUCUCAUCCUCUGUCGUCCCCUUCUCCUCCUGCCCCCAAUCCCUCCCAGCAUCAAGGUCUUUUCAAGUGAGUCAGCUCUUCGCAUCAGGUGGCCAAAGUAUUGGAGUUUCAGCUUCAGCAUCAGUCCUUCCAAUGAACACUCAGGACUGAUCUCCUUUAGGAUGGACUGGUUGGAUCUCCUUGCAGUCCAAGGGACUCUCAAGCAUCUUCUCCAGCACCACAGUUCAAAAGCAUCAAUUCUUCGGUGCUCAGCUUUCUUUAUAGUCCAGCUCUCAUCUGUAGGUAGCCUGAGGUAGUUUAGGACAGGAUGCCCUCAAACCUAGAGCAGGAAGAAGCAGCUGAGACCAGAGCCCAGCCCUCUGCC
ensembl:lncRNA